GACGAACGCUGGCGGCGUGCUUAACACAUGCAAGUCGAACGAAGAGCGAUGGAAGCUUGCUUCUCUCAAUCUUAGUGGCGAACGGGUGAGUAACGCGUAAUCAACCUGCCCUUCAGAGGGGGACAACAGUUGGAAACGACUGCUAAUACCGCAUACGAUCUAAACUCGGCAUCGAGGAUAGAUGAAAGGUGGCCUCUACAUGUAAGCUAUCGCUGAAGGAGGGGAUUGCGUCUGAUUAGCUAGUUGGAGGGGUAACGGCCCACCAAGGCGAUGAUCAGUAGCCGGUCUGAGAGGAUGAACGGCCACAUUGGGACUGAGACACGGCCCAGACUCCUACGGGAGGCAGCAGUGGGGAAUCUUCCGCAAUGGACGAAAGUCUGACGGAGCAACGCCGCGUGAGUGAUGACGGCCUUCGGGUUGUAAAGCUCUGUUAAUCGGGACGAAAGGCCUUCUUGCGAAUAGUGAGAAGGAUUGACGGUACCGGAAUAGAAAGCCACGGCUAACUACGUG
rnacentral:rRNA from 1 species